rnacentral:rRNA from 1 species
AAUCUCAAAAAGAUAGUCUCAGUUCGGACUGUGGGCUGCAACCCGCCCACACGAAGUCGGAGUUGCUAGUAAUCCCGAAUCAGCAUGUCGGGGUGAAUGCGUUCCCGGGUCUUGUACACACCGCCCGUCACGCCAUGGGAGUCGGAAGUGCCCAAAGUCGGUGACCUAACCGCAAGGAAGGAGCCGCCUAAGGUGGGAUUGAUGACUGGGGUGAAGUCGUAACAAGGUACC